UACGUAGGGGGCUAGCGUUGUCCGGAAUCAUUGGGCGUAAAGAGCGUGUAGGCGGUCCGGUAAGUCCGCUGUGAAAGUCGGGGGCUCAACCCUCGAAUGCCGGUGGAUACUGUCGGGCUAGAGUGCGGAAGAGGCGAGUGGAAUUCCUGGUGUAGCGGUGAAAUGCGUAGAUAUCAGGAGGAACACCGGUGGCGAAGGCGGGUCUCUGGGCCAUAACUGACGCUGAGAAGCGAAAGCAUGGGGAGCGAACAGG
rnacentral:rRNA from 1 species